rnacentral:rRNA from 1 species
GUCGAGAAUCUUUCACAAUGGGGGCAACCCUGAUGGAGCGACGCCGCGUGGAGGAUAAGGUCUUCGGAUUGUAAACUCCUGUCAUGCGUGAACAAGGUUGCUUGGUUAAUACCUGGGCAAAUUGAUGGUAACGCAAGAGGAAGAGACGGCUAACUCUGUGCCAGCAGCCGCGGUAAUACAGAGGUCUCAAGCGUUGUUCGGAAUCACUGGGCGUAAAGGGUGCGUAGGUGGCGUGGUAAGUCAGAUGUGAAAGCCCGGGGCUCAACCUCGGAACUGCAUCAGAUACUGCCAUGCUAGAGUACUGGAGAGGUGACUAGAAUUCUCGGUGUAGCAGUGAAAUGCGUAGAUAUCGAGAGGAAUACCAAAGGCGUAGGCAGGUCACUGGACAGUUACUGACACUGAGGCACGAAGGCCAGGGGAGCGAACGGGAUUAGAAACCCGUGUAGUCC